AGAACGAACGCUGGCGGCAUGCCUAAUACAUGCAAGUCGAACGAACUCUUCGGAGUUAGUGGCGCACGGGUGCGUAACGCGUGGGAAUCUGCCCUUGGGUUCGGAAUAACAGUUGGAAACGACUGCUAAUACCGGAUGAUGACGAAAGUCCAAAGAUUUAUCGCCCAGGGAUGAGCCCGCGUAGGAUUAGCUAGUUGGUGAGGUAAAGGCUCACCAAGGCGACGAUCCUUAGCUGGUCUGAGAGGAUGAUCAGCCACA
rnacentral:rRNA from 1 species